rnacentral:lncRNA from 1 species
GGUUAAGUAAAUUGAGAACUGUCAUCAGCUCUAAAGGCGGUCAAGUUAAGGGUGAAUCUGGGCCACCUAUCCGACAUAGUCUUUCAGAUGGAUCUCUUGUAAGAAACUAUACAUUGAUUUCACUUGUGCUUCCAAAAAAGGGCCCUUGUUCAGCAAAGAUGUUGAUUUCACUUGUGCUUCCCCAAAAGGGCCCUUGUUCAGCAAAUAAUUAUCCUUUGCUUAUAAAACUUUUUCCUUGUGAUCUUCAUGUUUGUUUUUGUACUCUUCUGAUAGUUGUAUUUCAAGUCUCCUGUUGUGGUUUUCUUAAGCUGUGAACUAAUUUCCCCGACCACUUGGUUUUAGUUUAUUAAUUUUGCUGUGUUUUAGG